rnacentral:snoRNA from 2 species
UCCCUCUCAGGAUGGCACCUGGAGAGUUUCCAGGACUCUAUCAGUCUCAGCUAUGGGAGGAAGAGUCAAGCAGAGGCCUACCCAUUCCAUUCCUAGCUUGGCUAGCGAGUGGCAGGCAGUCUGCUACAAGU